rnacentral:lncRNA from 1 species
AGUCCAUCUAAUCAUAUUUAAGAGCCAGAACACUGAUUUCAACCCCCAAAUAUCACUCUCAUUGAUGAGAGCUGGCUGCAUGGAUUCAAAUCAGAAUGUAGCUCUUCUUUUAUAUGCUAAAAGUAAUUUAAAAUUAUAUCAGCGAUUUUUUUCUUCCAGAGUUUUGUCCCCCAAUACCUUUACGUGAGGUCACUAAGAAAACUUGAUGGUAUGAAUUAAAAAAAUUAAUUUCAUUGGUUUAUGUUACUUAAGAACAAGCAAUCAGUAACCCCGACAUAUAUACUAGUGUUGGUUUGCAGAUUGUAUUUCACAUUUCCUCUAGUAGCGUGAAGGAAUCUCAUUAGUUCAUUAUAAUUGUGGACCAUCUGGAUCACUAUGGAACAACUGAAGGUUAGGAGAUAAUGUUAGUACUAGAGCUAAUAGCACAUGGUGGGUGUUGAGACUCUAAAAGUAGCAAGGAUUUUUAAACAGUCCUAACUGUAAAAUAACUAUGUAGGCUUGCUAAAAAAGUAGUUUUUGGUCUAUGAAGGAAUGAUGUGCACUUGAAUUACUGUACUACUGAUUGUUAUUGCUGCCCAUCAUAGUGCCUAUUAAUAAUAAUCAACCUGUCAGAUUUUGGCAAACUGGAGCUGUGAAUAUUCUAGUAUUUGAUUGUUCCUAUCGCUAUUGCUAUGAGUGUAUACACUCUCUUAAAGUCUUCCUUUCUAAAAUAUUUAUAUCCAUUAGGUCUAAAUGAUUUCCUUUUACCUUUUGGGUCUGAUAAGAUUUGGGUAUGUGUCUAUAUCUAUAUAUAUACACACAGACAUAUGUAUAUACAUGUAUACAUAUAUAUGUGUGUAUACAUACAUACAAUACCAUGUCAGACUUAAAGAUAAAUAUCUUUAACUCAUUGUAUAUAAACAUUAUUAAAUUUAGUUUUCCAUUAAUUAUUUAAGUAAAGAAUUAGUUAAGCAGCCAGAUUUUCUACUUUGUAUGUAUACUUCAAAGUUUUUACCAUCUCAAAGCUGCAGAUUAAAUAGAUGCAUAUAUACUGGCAAUUGAGUAUACUCUAAAAUUAUUAAGCCUUCUGCCAGUCCUUUUGUUUCAUUUUUUUCAUAGUUAAUCAUUCAAAAAUGAGAUGAUGCUAUGACUUUUUGAUACUUAAAAUUCCCAAGAAUUCAUUAGCCGUAAUUAAAUAUGAUCCAGUUCAAAACUCUGGUCUUAGGACAUGUAUUGCCAUGUAUCUUAUAAAAUAAGCUACUAUUCUUAUCUGUGCAAUAUGCAUUUUAUUUAUUGUCAUUUGUAACAUACAUGGAGCUGCAAGUGUUCAUGGUAUCCUUCAAAAUAACAGAAUCCCUGCCUUGAAGACAUUAAACUCUUAAGGCAACUGGAAGUUAGAAGUUAAAAAAUGAGCAUGAAAGUUAGUAACCAAAAGUACUAGUUCACUGUAUAAUUCUAAAACACUGAUGAUGUUUGCACCUAAUAAUCCAAGCAUAAUGUGGUACAGGCUCAAACUGUAGUAAUAUAAGCUAAUAGUAUGAAAUUUGGAAACGGGUUCCUCUUGAUAGUUGGCAGUGUGCUCCUAGCAAUCGAAAGCAGCACUAAUCUGUUGCUUUAUGCAAAAGAUGCAAUGUAUUAUAAAGAUAUUAAAGUUCCUCUACAUUUUAUAAUUUUCCUUGUUAAAGCCCCAGACUGCCAUGUCCCUGAAACUUGAGUCAAACACAAGCUUAUUUGCACUAAAGAGCAUGGCCAAAAAAAUAAAUGACAGGGUGGAAAAGCUAGUUGGAACCUCUUGAAAUAAUUGGUUCUAAUAUGAGAAUUUCACAUUUGUCUAUUUGAAAGCUGUAUGGUCCAGGCAGACAAUCUGUCAGUUCACUAAUUUAAUAAUGCACUUUACCUUUUGUAUAUAGAAGAUGUACAUUUAUGCCACUUGACAGGUGGGAUGUGUUUCAAUAACUAUGUAGCUAGAAUCUAUAAGGUGAUCCCGUGCAUGCAUAUGUUUGUGUUGGAACUGUUGUUGUAACAGGUUUCCAUUAAAUCAGUGUAAUGGAGAAGGGUAGAAGAUGCUUUUGAAACAAAUCCCAGUAUAUUUAACAAAGAAUUUUAAAGUAGAGUUCACAUUUGAUGUCUUAAGAACUAGAAUAAAUAAAAUACUAUUUCUAACCCAAAUUCUUAUUACAGUUGAGACUAUAUUUAGUUGAGAUUCCCCACAGUGCCCUGACAGUUAAUUUGGGGAAUUUGUCUAGACAAAAUUUUUUUCAAUCAUUGUUUCAUUGUUGAUAUGUGUUUAAGUAAUGAAUAAAUAUGCAGUACAUAAUAUUAUACUCAAAUUAAAAGUGUGGUUAGCUGAUGUGGCAUUAUUUAAAGAACAUUCAGACUAAAGAAGUAAGGUUUCAAGUUAAGGAAAUGCAAGGAACCUAUGAACAGUCACUAACACAAAUAUGAUAUCUCAGAAUUCACAGAAGUACUAACCUUCCCCAACUAAAAAGGGUAUUGGGGGAUUUAGUGUAUCCUUCCAUCUUAAAAGCUUCUUAAGAUGUACAUUUGAAAACUAGAUAACUGUUGCUUAAUAAUACUUUACUGAGAAACACUGUGUACUAACAAUUCAUCAAGAGUGUGCUAUAUUUACUGAGUUCAUUUUAUAUCUAUAGAUAAGAAUAAAUUAUAUAGUCAUCCUACCUUAAUAUAAUCAUGUAUUUAUAUUGUAAUUUUGCAAAUAUUUUCCAUAAAAUAAACAUUUAUCUGAGCUGCACAAUUUGAAGAGGAUGAAACUGGAAUAUACCCUCAGAUGCUCAUUUUAAAUAAGCAGCUACCAUUGAAAGCUGAUCUCACAAAUUACCCCAAAUCCAGAGAGAAUAUCAACCUUUUUCACUGUUGUCAAAUCAAGCAUAAGGAACAGCCCCAUGAUACUACAAAAACAGUUGAGGAAUAAGGAAUAAAUCUCUUAUGUUACACCUCAGAAUAAAGGCAUUCGGUGAAAGAAAUGAACUGAAGUUCAUCAUGAAUGUAAGGCCUCAGUACUUGACAUUCCUCCACGGAAGGGAAGACAAGUAUCAACACCACUGGCAUCAUUUCCAAACUGAUCUUAUGUUGAAUAAUUUCCACCACAUUGAAGUACCUUUCGACUCUAUCCAGUUUUUGGGUUUUGUUUUUUUUAAUUCAUCAAGCCUUUCGUUUUCAAACCACCAUUUGUCAGCCUUGAGGUAGAGAGACAUAUAGAUUUGAAAAUACUUUCUUAAGAGAUCAUGUAACUAUAUAACUCUGAAUUUAAAAAUUGAGGGGGGAGGGAUAAUUUCAACCCACUGCCUCUUACCAGAAACAUUUUUUUAAAUCUGUAACUGCUUUAGUGUUAACAGGGUGCAAGGUGGUUUUUGUCCCGUAUUGUUCUUAAAAGGUUCUCAUUUAUUGUGAUUGUAUUGUACUGUAUGAGAACAAAUCAUAAAUUGCCUUGUAUUGUUUAUAAUAGACCAUACCACGUACUACUUCAGUUUUUAUGUUCCAAGUUUUUCAGUGAUGCAUGUUAACAGUUAGGUCCUAAAAUUCUGUGGUGCUAAUUCUCCCAUACCCAAUGGUGCUUUUGUGGAUGCUAACUGCACACAUGCUGAACAAAGCUUGAAGUUUAAAACUUUCCUCCCUUCCUCUGUUUAUAUGAAGUAAAAUGAAAUAACUUGAAUUUGUCUCAAAGUAUCACUGACAAUCUAAUAAACUUGUUUAUAUGUGUGAUUAGUUUGGAUUCUUAAUUAUUUUAAGGAAAGCAUCUCAGCUCUAUUGGGCCCCAAAAGUUGAUUUUGUGUUUAUUUCAUUAUGUCAUUUGUGCCCCCAAAUUCGUGGUAUCUUUAUAAAUUUCAAUGCAGUUUGUCUGGCUUCCAAAAUCAUGUUUAGGUAGGAUCUAUAGAAACUAGACCUAUCAGAACUGGAAAUAAGUAAGUUGAGAAGAUCAAAAAUGUGCCAAUCCAGUCUAUUACAGUGCCUUUAUUGUAAUUUAUUAAUAAGGUUUUAUCACCUGGUUGAGCCGGGAGAUAACACUUGCACGAAAGCAAGUAUGCCUUCAAAACCUUUAUUGCAACUCACAUGACAUUGAAAAGGCCAUUUCUAUAUGCUGAUAUUAAAAGUUCCACUUCUCAUAUAUGAAAAUAGGGACAAAAAAAUUAAUUUUGAAUUUUCCAGGACAAACUGACAUCAUAUGCCAGAAUGUCAUAGUAGAUAAACUCAUGACAAUGGUUUUAUUGGAUUUUUAUCUUCUGCAUCUAUAUUAAAUCACAACAGAAGGCCAAGUGAACCUGCUAAUAUCUUCAUGAGGGCAGAGGGCUGUUUCUUCCAAGCCAGGGAUAAAUUCAAUAUAAAGGCACUAUGUAAAUUUGCAUUCCGACCUUGGUACUUUGCCUAACUCAAGGGUAAUGUUAAAAUUUGAAAAGA